rnacentral:rRNA from 1 species
GUGAGGAAUAUUGGUCAAUGGGGGCAACCCUGAACCAGCCAAGUCGCGUGAAGGAUGAAGGUCUUAUGGAUUGUAAACUUCUUUUACACGGGAAUAAAGUGGGGGACGUGUCCCCCUUUGCAUGUACCGUGUGAAUAAGGAUCGGCUAACUCCGUGCCAGCAGCCGCGGUAAUACGGAGGAUCCGCGCGUUAUCCGGAUUUAUUGGGUUUAAAGGGUGCGCAGGCGGGAUGUUAAGUCGGCGGUGAAAUUUUGCAGCUCAACUGUAAAAGUGCCUUCGAUACUGGCCUCCUUGAGUGUGGAUGAAGUGGGCGGAAUUUGUGGUGUAGCGGUUAAAUGCUCAGAUAUCACGAGGAACUCCGAUUGCGCAGGCAGCUUACUAAGCCACAACUGACGCUCAUGCACGAAGGCGUGGGGAUCAAACA